UUUUCUUUGGAAUUUUUUGGUAUACCUUUGGUUACAACACAGGACAUGGGAGCUUACUUGGAACCCUCGUGUCUUGUGUUGCAGCCAGUGGUGGCCAAAUCCAAC
rnacentral:pre_miRNA from 17 species